rnacentral:lncRNA from 1 species
CAUUAUAAGCUCAACAUCUGUCCAUGCUAAGUAUCAAAAAAAUCAGAUUUUUGAAUUUUGGAGUAUCUUGGAAACAGAAGUUAAAUCUGAUUUCAGCUGACAAAACUGUUUUCUGGCUAUGCAAACUUAUCUCUGGGCAAACUAACCAUGGAAAUACAAGAAUUUACUCGAUUCUUGGCAGAACAUGAAGCCUCGGUCUACCUCAUUAUACCUUCCAGUGGCUGCAGCUGUUUUUUUGCGCCUGUUCACUUUCUACAAGAGUUUCAAGUUGUGGACAGUCUUUCCGUUUCCUGCUGUCUUUAUAAAUAUACAGAACUAUGAAAAAUUAAAUACAUGUGAAUAAAUAAAUAAUUUUUUAAACA